GCUUUCCUCCCACCCGGAUCUAGGCGCGCAGGGGCCAAGCAGGGACGCAGCCCAGUGGCUCCAGCCACGCCGUCCUGCCCCCUUCUGCAGGUGAGAAGUGCGCCCUGUUCCAUCUGCCCCCUUUCCUUCCUGUCUCCUUUCAGCUGUAACCUAGGCCGGUGGCCACCUCCCCGUCAGGCAGAGAAACGUACACAAAGAAUUGGGGAUUUGGAUUUACACCGAUUGUGGCUUUCAGUCCCGGUUGUGUGACCUUGAGCAAAUUGCUCAACCCCUCGGCGUCAGUCUCCUCUGUAAAGUCACUUGGGAGGAUUAGAGAUAAAGUGUAGAAGGCUUAGCAUGGUGCCUGGUACUGCGUGAGUCCACAGCUAUUUUCACUCCGGACCAGCGGCGAUCGGGGCCCGGCCUCUCCCCGCCCCCAGACUCGCCCGACCUGCGCAGGGAGCCGCCCACCUCCAGCCGCCAGCGGGGAGGCGCCCCAGAGCUGCGGAGCUGCAGACCCGCCGACGGUCUCGCGCUCUGAUUUCCUCACCGUAUGAAAUGAAAUUCCACAGGGGGAUUCGAAAGGAAAUGAGACCGGGACUCUCCGUGCUUCUCGGCCCGCCGCCCUUCCUGUCUCGGGGACACGGUUUCUAAAUAAGGUUGGGAGGGUGAGAGGGCGGGAGGGGAGAGGCUUGACCUGUGCACUGGGGACGAGGAAGGCGCACAACCACCGUGACUCCUCUCUCCCGGCCUCCCGGGCACCCCCUCCCCACCAGGCUGCACCCCUUUUUUUCUUUGCUUCUGCUUCGGCUCCUAGGGAUCUGGGGAUCAUGUGACCCAGGUUUGAACCCAACUUUCCUGUCUCAUUACCAGCCCCCCGCGGCUUUGUGCUGGUCCACCCUCUCUCUGCUUUCCAGUCGGCCAGUAAACUCCCAGCAGGUGGAUUCCUCCACCGUUUACUUGUUGCUUGACUGUGUUGAAGCUAUGGUGCCUCUCUGAGCCUCAAAGUGGCCGGCUGUAAAGUGGGGAAGUUCAUAUCCACCUCACACAGUUGUUCUAAGAGUUCAGUGAGAUAAUACCUGUAAAUCAUUUAGCAGUGUCUGACACAUAAUAAAUGCUGAAGAACUUGGUGAUUGGGGUGUGUGUGUGUGUGUGUGUGUGUGUGUGUGUGUGUGUAUGUGUUUCCAAAACAGCUAGGGGAGAUCAAUUAUGGGACAGCCUCCUGCUUUCCAGCCUGGUGCUAAAGACAGCUCCAGCAGCCCCGGAAUGAGGAUCUGGGUAAAAGGCUUUUCACCCUCUUCCUGAGAUCUUUUUGUCCAACACUUGCCACUGUUUUAUGCAUGUUUUUAUCCUCCCAUUUCAGCCAAUUCUGUGGCAUAUGGCAGAGGCUAGAUGCAAGUUGGAAGAAUGUCUGUGCCACUCAUGUGACACUCAUAUUCUGUCUUGUAUUUUUAGUCUUCUUAUAUUGGCAACGAGACUUGACUGAGGGCAAAAAUGGAAUCAACUUUUUUUUGGUAUUUGGCUCUGUGCCUAGAACUGUGUUGGACACGGAGAAGCUGCAUUGUCUCCAGUCAUCAUCAUAAACUCCCAGUGAAGGAGGUUCCGUUAGCUCCUUAUAGAGAUUAGGAAACUGAGGCUAGAACCACAGUAAUAGAAAAUGACAAGACCAACCAAACCAGGGCCCAGAAGAGGCUCUUCAAAGAUGGAAGGCAGGGCUAUUUUCCCAGAAAAAAUUCCCAGCUGGAAAUCAAUGUACUCAGCAAUAGGAUUGAAUCUCUGUGUGCCUGUGCUGAGUAAUGCAUAAAACCCUUGGCCUACAGAGAUGAAUAAACGAUCAGAUGUAGAGAUCAAAUGAUCUAUUAAUCAUUUGGGUUACAGAGAUGAAUAUAUAAUCAGAUGAACAGAUCAAAUGAAUAGAUAAUCCUCAUCCUUUAGGAUCUCACAGGAGGAGACAAAGGAUUAACAAACAACAAUAACUUAGUUUGCUAAGUGCACAGAUAGAGAAUUGUGGGUGAAUUGAAGGUAGAAGUGGCUGAGUCUGGAGGGCUACUCAAAGGGGGAUGACCUGCAAGACUCGUAGCUACUCAACAAAGUGUAGUUAGUAUGCAAUUGGCCCUUCUUCUAGGGAAGAGUGGUGGUGGUGGGGUGUGCUUUGUGCUGAAGAUAUGGUUACAUGGUUUAUUAAACAGUGAACUCCCUGAGGUCAAGGAGGAGGACCUGUCCCUCAUACAGGGCCUGGCACACAAGGAACAUCAUUUGUUCUGGGUGAAGGAAUACUGUUUUCAAAUCAAUAACAAACCACUCAUAUAGAACUCUUACUUUCAGACACUGUGUUACAUGCCUUACAUUCUUAAUUUUAUUUAUUUCUCACAACUUGCAGAAACUGAUGCUCUGAGAGGCCAAGCAGUUUGCCCAAGAUUACACAGUAAGUCGUAGAGAAGAACUCAUGCAUGUCUGCCUGGCCCUAAACUCUGUGUGCAUGGUACUGCUCUUGCAGAGGAAACUGCUUCACGCCCAGCCUAAUCCAUAGUUAAAGAUGACCAUUUUGUGAUCUGGACCUCUUAUUCCUAGACCUGGCAUCCUGCCUCAGCUUGCUUGAAGCAAUUGUCUCCUUUGAGAACACAUGAAGAAGCCCCUUCCCUAUCAGAAGCUUUUUCUGUCAACAGCUUUUCUUUCUAGUCGUGGAACUCAUCACCAGUAUUUUCCAAAAAAGAAAGCUAGGGGAAUCACAUUUCAGUCUGAAUGUGGAAAGACAACAAAGACCAUAACUUAGAGCUAAAUCUGAAUGGCCUGGAGCCCCUCAGCCUCCCUCUCCUGGAGUGGUUUACACAGUCCACAAUCUGCCCCUGGUGACAGGCAUGGCAUGUUUGUCUUUGUUACAGAAAACACUUCCCGAGGGAGUCCCAGGCAGAGGGAUAUCCACCCUGUGACAUGCACAGCAUUUCUGAGAGGAAAAGAUAGGGACACCUGAAUAAAGUGUAGGCCAUGGGCCCCUGCUAACUCUGGCUUGAGUGCCUGGGCAGUUUCCUUGGUCCAGCCUCUGAGCAGUAAAGAUUCAACUACUUUGGAGCUGCAACAAACAUGACUUCAACAGUCUGUUGGGCAGUUGGAGGGCUCUCCAUUUGUAUCUAAUAAGAGGCUGGGUUCUUAUUAACUCCGGUGAUGUGUUAAUUUUUCAACCUGACGUUUUCUGCUCUAAUAGAUUCUUGUAAUGCUUACUAAAUUAAAGGCUGCAUUGGAAGAGUAAUGUUUAGGUUAAAAUGCAUCACCUAAGGGGGUGGAAGCUAUAAACAUCCUUUCCCUCCUACGGGAAAAUCUCUCAUUUGCGGCUCUUUGCUAACCCAAUUAAGUGCUGAAGUAGUUACCCUAGAGCCUGCUUUUUAUUUCCUAUGAAACAAUCCAACUAAUCCAUAUUCAGUAGCUUCCAAGAAAAGUCUUAUUCCAACCACUCAUGAAGAAACCAGCUUCUUUGAAUCUAGAUAGAACAUUUAGAACUCACAAAGAGCUGUCUUGAUGGAAAGUGCAAGAAAGUGGUUCAUUAUUAUCUGCCUGGUUUUUGAGGGAAAUAAUUCACUGGGACUAAAACCCCAUAAGUAUUGGGAAUUUACUGUGGAACAACAAAAGCAAAGCAAGAAGAUGCCAUGCCACAUUCCAUCCAUUUAUAAAUAGGGUGUUACAUCUCCCCCUGCACCCAAACUAGUUAUAAAACAAAAGUGCGCCUGCUGAGUAAGGUGGAAGGGAACACUGAUCUUACUUCGAGCUGAGGAAUCAAAGUUCCCAAGAGAUUAAUACCUAUUAAGUGGCAGAGCCAAACUCCCUUCUUAGUCCAUUGCACCACUAGCUAGCAGAGAAGAAUUGUCACCACAGAGCUCUUGCAUGUCAAGAAAUAGAAGCUCAAAAUUUUUCCUACCCAUAAGUUUAGCAAGCAUUAAAUGGUACAUCAGACAUCCUUAUUUAUUGGUGGUGAUGAGUUAACGCAAAGAUGAACAACCAAAAACCUCCAUGGAAGGCAAAAAAUAAUGCAAACACACUUUUACCUCCAUAGCCUCGUUUCGUUUCAGUGAAAUUGAUCAGUCAAGCUGUUAACAAAUAUUUAGUGAUGGGUUAUUGUGGACAUGUCAUUGAGCUGGGUACUAGGGAGUAUGCAGACAUGUUAAAGGUGGUUUCUGCCUUCAAGGAGCUUACAGUCACAUUGGGGAAGAUUAAGACAUGAGACCAAGGGCAAAACAAGUUUUUUAUGGUUAAGUGCAUUUUGUUGAGCUUUCUUAUUUCCAGUCUCCCCUUGUUGUUUUACAUAAGGUUCUGUAUUAUAAAGUUAUUGGGCUGUUUUGCUUUUGUCUCUUUCACUCUCCUCUGAAGUCAGAGGCUGUGUCUUUUUCACUACCAUGCUCUUAAACAACAUAGAACAAUAUUACCUGAGCCAUAGAAGGCACUCAGUAGUUAUUUGUUUAAUACAUAAAUGAAUGGUUCUGCCUAUAAGUGAUCUGAUUAUUCAGAAAAAGAAAGCCUGCAUUAUGAGCCGGGUAUAGGCAACCGCCAAAACACUACCUAAGUGGUUCCAGAAUGAUGGUUAAGUCAAGAUUAUAAACCGCUCCUCCAAGUCAGGCAUGGUUCACACUUUCAGCUUUCUUCUCAAGUCAGAUGUUUUGCCAAUUAUUUAUCUUCCUUUUUGUUUGACUGUGUCUAUUCUUAAAUCUUUUACAGUAGACAAAUAUCUUUUUUUUUUCUUUGAGAUAGGGUCUCACUCUGUCGCUCAGGCUGGAGUGCAGUGGUAUGAUCUUGGCUCACAACCUCUGCUUUCAGGGCUCAAGGGAGCCUCCAGCCUCAGCCUUCUGAGUAGCUGGGACCACAGGUGCGAGCCAACAUGCUGUGCUAAUUUUUAUAUUUUUUUGUAGAGACAGGUUUUGCCAUAUUGCCCAGGCUGGUCUUAAACCCUUGAGCUCAAAAUAAUCCACCCACCUUGGCUUCCCAAGUGCUGGGAUUAUAGGCACGAGCCACUGUGUCUGGCCUAAAAAAAUAACCUUGACAGAAAUUGUUUUUCAAUUCAGAAGCAAAUGUGUUAAUGUGUUUCUCUAUUUCAUGAAUCGGCCUAAGACUGUUUUUUUUUUUUUUUUCCUGUGAGACGGAGUCUCACUCUGUCACCCGGGCUGGAGUGCAGUGGCGCAAUCUUGGCUCACUGCAACCUCCGCCUCCCAGGUUCACGCCAUUCUCCUGCCUCAGCCUCCCAAGUAGCUGGGACUACGGGUGCCCACCACCAUGCCCGGCUACUUUGUUAUAUUUUUAGUAGAGACGGGGUUUCACCGUGUUAGCCAGGAUGGAGCCUAAGAUAUUUUUUAGAUCACUGUUUACUACUAUAGUUAGUCGACCACUCAUCUCAUUAUUGUCAACUGAAGCCAUUAGGAACAUAUAUGCCAUGAGACGGUUGGUAAAAGCCGGGGUCUGAAGCCAAAGCAUUUUAAGUCAAGGGAUUACAUGUGAUUGGUAAGUUUGUACAAAAAUUAGAAUGUAAGCUUAGCUUUGAAGGAUGGGUAAUUUUCAAAGAGACUUUGGGAAGCAUGGAAAGGAAGGCACUUUUUAAUAUUCUCAGACAGCACUCUGAUUAAUUAAUGGAGAUGAGAAAUGAAUAUGAAUGAAAAUGAUGCUAAAUAAUGACCAAAGGGUGAACUAGCUACCACAUAUUGUGUAUAAGCAUGAACUAGAUGAGAUAAAGUCCCAGAUGGUGGUUUUAAAACAUGGCCUCAAAUUCUUUGAUGCUUCUCCUGUUGAAGGACGGAAUUUAUGUUCUCUCCCCUUGAAUCAGGGAGGGUUUGUAACUUCUUCAACCGACCGAGUAUGCUGUAAGUGCUACUACGUGACCUCCAAAGCUACAUCAUGAAAGGUCAUGCAAUUUCUACUUUGUUUGCCGGAAAACUCACUUUGGAGCUCUGAGCGGCCUUGUAAAUAGUUCAGCUACUCUAAGACUGCAAGGAGAGGCUACGUGCAGGUUCUUCAUUAGUCCCAGAUGAGCCUGUCCUUCAGCCAUCCCAAGCCAGGGGCCCAAAAUGUGAGGAAAGAAGCCAUCUUGAAAGUGGAUUCUCUGGCUCCCCCAUUCCUAACCUCUACUGUUGGAGUCAUCCCAACAUCCUUGCUGUGCCUUUUCAAAUUCCUAACACAUAAAAUCCGUGAUGGUCAUUGUUUUAUUCCUAUAGGUUUAGGUUGGUUUGUUGUUUAGCAACAAAUAACCAGGACACAAUUAAAUAACAAGAUAUCAAAGGAGAGAGUGACUCAGCUAGGAAAAGAAUGAUUAUCACCCAAAGAUGAAUAAAGGGACUUUAUAGUCACUCUCAGGGAGAGGGAUAGCAUAUUUUUAGUUGCAUGAGGGACAAUUGUGUAUUGUGAAGGGAAAGCAUUAUUUUGCUCUUUAUUUGGAAGUUAAGUGUGGUUAAAAGAAGUGCGUAUGCAUCCCAGGCUGACAAGGAGUAGAUUCUACUAGUUUCGUAUUAUGUUAAUCUAGCUAAGCUGAAACGAACUUUCCCAGAAUCUCCUUCCUACAUGGUUCCAGAUUAGGGUAAGCUACAAGAAAAAUUAACGCAAGAUUGGGGAGGUAGAUGUGAAGCAGCAUUUUUAUGCUCUGAAAGUCAGUGCUGGGUACCAGGCACCAUGGUGGCUCAUGUGCAUUGUUACUGAUCUGCUGGCUCACCUGUUGGCAUGGGGUAACACCCGGGCCUGCAGUUCCUCCACCUCCUGAUGAUCUCCUUUAUUUGCUCGGAGUCCUGGGCCAGGUGCUUGAGUAGUUAUGUUGCUAAGGACUCCAGCUUCUGCAGGUCACCUGCAUUAUCAAGCUUAGAGGUGGUUAAAGACAGACAUGGGAUCUAGUUUGUCCCUGUGGGUUCCACUUUGCCCCUGAUUUCCCAAACUUCACACCUAGCUUUCCUUUUUUUAAAGGAGUAGUGCUGCAGUAAACAUACAUGUGCAGGUACCUUUAUGGUAGAAUGAUUUAUAGUCCUUUGGGUAUUUAUCCAGUAAUGGGAUUGCUGGGUCAAAUGGUAUUUCUUGUUCUAGAUCCUUGAGGAAUCGCCACACGGUCUUCCACAAUGGUUGAACUAGUUUACACUCCAACAACAGUGUAAAAGUGUUCCUGUUUUUCCACAUUGUCUCCAGCGUCUGUUGUUUCCUGACUUUUUAAUGAUCCCCAUUCUAACUGGUGUGAGAUGGUGUCUAAUUGUGGUUUUGAUUUGCGUUUCUCUGAUGACCGCUGAUGAUGAGCAUUUUUUCAUAUGUCUGUUGACUGCAUAAAUGUCUUCUUUUGAGAAGUGUCUGUUCAUAUCCUUUGCCCACUUUUUGAUGGGGUUGUUUUUUCUUCUAAAUUUGUUUAAGUUCUUUGUAGAUUCUGGAUAUUAGCCCUUUGUCAGAUGGAUAGAUUGUGAAAAUUUUCUCCCAUUCUGUAGGUUGCCUGUUCACUCUGAUGAUAGUUUCUUUUGCUGUGCAAAAGCUCUGUAGUUUAAUUAGAUCCCAUUGUGUAUUUUGGCUUUUGUUGCCAUUGCUUUUGGUGUUUUAGUCAUGAAGUCUUUGCCCAUGCCUAUAUCCUAAAUGGUAUUGCCUAGGUUUUCUUCUAGGGAUUUUAUGGUUUUAGGUCUUAACAUUUAAGUCUUUAAUCCAUCUUGAGUUAAUUUUUGUAUACGGUGUAAGGAAGGGAUCCAGUUUCACCUUUCUACAUAUGGCUAGCCAGUUUUCCCAGCACCAUUUAUUAAAUAGGGAAUGCUUUCCUCAUUGCUUUUUUUUGUCAGGUUUUUCAAAGACCAGAUGGAUGUAGAUGUGUGGUGCCAUUUCUGAGGGCUCUGUUCUGUUCCAUUUGUCUGUAUGUCUGUUUUGGUACCAGUACCAUGCUGUGUUGGUUACUGUAGCCUUGUAGUAUAGUUUGAAGUGAGGUAGCAUGAUGCCUCCAGCUUUGUUCUUUUUGCUUAGGAUUGUCUUGGUUAUGUGGGUUCUUUUUUGGUUCCAUAUGAAAUUUAAAGUAGUUUUUUCCAAUUCUGUGAAGAAUGUCAGUGGUAGCUUGAUGGGGAUGGCAUUGAAUCUACAAAUUACCUUGGGCAGUAUGGCCAUUUUCACAAUAUUGAUUCUUCCUAUCCAUGAGCAUGGAAUAUUCUUCCAUUUGUUUGUGUCCUUUUUUAUUUCGUUGAGCAGUGGUUUUAGUAGUUCUCCUUGAAGAGGUCCUUCAUAUGCUGUGUAGGUUGGAUUCCUAGGUAUUUUAUUCUCUUCGUAGUAAUUGUGAAUGAGAGUUCACUCAUGAUGUGGCUGUUUGUGUGUUCUUGGUGUAUAGGAAUGCUUGUGAUUUUUGCAUAUUGAUUUUGUAUCCUGAGACUUUGCUGAAGUUGCUUGUCAGCUUAAGGAGAUUUUGGGCUGCGACAGUGGGGUUUUCUAAAUAUACAAUCAUGUCAUCUGCAAACAGAGACAAUUUGACUUCCUGUUUUCCUAAUUGAAUAUCCUGUAUUUCUUUCUCUUGCCUGACUGCCCUGGCCAGAAGUUCCAAUACCAUGUUGAAUAGGAGUGAUGAGAGAGGGCAUCCUUGUCUUGUGCCGGUUUUCAAAGGGAAUGCUUCUAGUUUUUGCCCAUUCAGUAUGAUAUUGGCUGUCGGUUUGUCAUAAAUAGCUCUUAUUAUUUUGAGAUACAUUCCAUCAACACCUAGUUUAUUGAGGGUUUUUAGCAUGAAAGGCUGUUGAAUUUUGUCGAAGGCCUUUUCUGCAUCUAUUGAGAUAAUCAUGUGGUUUUUGUCACUGGUUCUGUUUAUGUGAUGGAUUACAUUUAUUGAUUUGCAUAUGUUGAACCAGCCUUGCAUCCCAGGGAUGAAGCCCACUUGAUCGUGGUGGAUAAGCUUUUUGAUGUGCUGCUGGAUUCGGUUUGCCAGUAUUUUAUUGAGGGUUUUCACAAUGAUAUUCAUCAGGGAUAUCGGUCUAAAAUUUUCUUUUUUUGUUGUGUGUCUGCCAGGCUUUGGUGUCAGGAUGAUGCUGGCCUCAUAAAAUGAGUUAGGGAGGAUUCCCUCUUUUUCUAUUGAUUGGAAUAGUUUCAGAAGGAAUGGUACUAGCUCCUCUUUAUACCUCUGGUAGAAUUCAGCUGUGAAUCUGUCUGUUCCUGGACUUUUUUUUGGUUGGUAGGCUAUUAAUUAUUGCCUCAAUUUCAGAACCUGUUACUGGUCUAUUCAGAGAUUCAACUUCUUCCUGGUUUAGUCUUGGGAGGGUGUACGUGUCCAGGAAUUUAUCCAUUUCUUCUAGAUUUUCUAGUUUAUUUGCAUAGAGGUGUUGAUAGUAUUCUCUAAUGGUAGUGUGUAUUUCUGUGGGAUCAGUGGUGAUAUCCCCUUUAUCAUUUUUUAUUGCGUCUAUUUGAUUCUGCUCUCUUUUCUUCUUUAUUAGUCUAGCUAGUAGUCUAUUUUGUUGAUCUUUUCAAAAAACCAGCUCCUGGAUUCAUUGAUUUUUUGAAGGGUUUUUUGUGUCUCUAUCUCCUGCAGUUCUGCUCUGAGCCUAGUUAUUUCUUGCCUUCUGCUAGCUUUUGAAUUUGUUUGCUCUUGCUUCUCUUGUUCUUUAAAUUGUGAUGUUAGGGUGUCGAUUUUAGAUCUUUCCUUCUUUCUCUUGUGGGCAUUUAGUGCUAUAAAUUUCCCUCUACACACUGCUUUAAAUGUGUCCCAGAGAUUCUGGUACAUUGUGUCUUUGUUAUCAUUGGUUUCAAAGAACAUCUUUAUUUCUGCCUUCAUUUCGUUAUUUACCCAGUAGUUAUUCAGGAGCAGGUUGUUCAGUUUCCAUGUAGUUGUGUGGUUUUUAGUGAGUUUCUUAAUCCUGAGUUCUAAUUUGAUUGCACUGUGGUCUGAGAGACAGUUUGUUGUGAUUUCUGUUCUUUUACAUUCGCUGAGGAGUGUUUUACUUCCAAUUAUAUAGUCAAUUUUGGAAUAAGUGUCAUGUGGUGCUGAGAAGAAUGUAUAUUCUGUUGAUUUGGGGUGAAGAGUUCUGUAGAUGUCUAUUAGGUCCACUUGGUCCAGAGCUGAGUUCAAGUUCUGAAUAUCCUUGUUAAUUUUCUGUCUCAUUGAUCUGUCUGAUGUUGACAGUGGGGUGUUAAAGUCUCCCAUUAUUAUUGUGUGGGAGUCUAAGUCUCUUUGUAGGUCUCUAAGAACUUGCUUUAUGAAUCUGGGAGCUCCUAUAUUGGGUCCAUAUAUAUUUAGGAUAGUUAGCUCUUCUUGUUUAAGAGAUCCCUUUACUAUUAUGUAAUGGCCUUCUUUUUUUCUUUUGAUCUUUGUUGGUUUAAAGUCUGUUUUAUCAGAGACCAGGAUUGCAACCCCUGCAUUUUUUUGCUUUCCAUUUGCUUGGUAGAUCUUCCUCCGUCCAUUUAUUUUGAGCCAAUGUGUGUCUUUGCCCAUGAGAUGGGUCCCCUGAAUACAGCACAUCGAUGGGUCUUGACUCCUUAUCCAGUUUGCCACUCUGUGUCUUGUAAUUGGGGCAUUUAGCCCAUUUACAUUUAAGGUUAAUAUUGUUAUGUGUGAAUUUGAUCCUGUCAUUAUGAUACUAGCUGGUUAUUUUGCCCAUUAAUUGAUGCAGUUUCUUUAUAGUGUCAAUGGUCUUUACAAUUUGGCAUCUUCUUGCAGUGCCUGGUACCAGUUGUUCCUUUCCAUGUUUAGUGCUUCCUUCAGGAUCUCUUGUGAGGCAGGCCUGGUGGUGACAAAAUCUCUCAGCAUUUGCUUGUCUGUAAAGGAUUUUAUUUCUUCUUCACUUACGAAGCUUAGUUUGGCUGGAUAUGAAAUUCUGGGUUGAAAAUUCUUUUCUUUAAGAAUGUUGAAUAUUGGCCCCCACUCUCUUCUGGCUUGUAGAGUUUCUGCCGAGAGAUCCGCUGUUAGUCUGAUGGGCUUCCCUUUAUGGGUAACCUGACCUUUCUCUCUGGCUCUCCUUAACAUUUUUUCCUUCAUUUCAAUCUUGGUGAAUCUGACGAUUAUGUGUCUUGGGGUUGCUCUUCUUGAGGAGUAUCUUUGUGGUGUUCUCUGUAUUUCUUGAAUUUGAAUAUUGGCCUGUCUUGCUAGGUUGUAUCCUGCAGAGUGUUUUCAAACUUGAUUCCAUUCUUCUCGUCACUUUCAGGUACAGCAGUCAAAUAUAGAUUUGGUCUUUUCACAUAGUCCCAUAUUUCUUGGAGGCUUUGUUCAUUUCUUUUCACUCUUUUUUCUCUAAUCUUGCCUUCUUGCUUUAUUUCAUUAAUUUGAUCUUUAAUCACUGAUAUCCUUUCUUCCGCUUGAUCGAAUCAGCUAUUGAAGCUUGUGUAUGCUUCACGAAGUUCUCAUACUGUGGUUUUCAGCUCCAUCAGGUCAUUUAAGCUCUUCUCUUCACUGGAUAUUCGAAUUAGCCAUUUGUCUAACCUUUUUUCAAGGUUUUUAGCUUCCUUGCGAUGGGUUAGAACAUGCUCCUUUAGCUCAGAGAAGUUUGUUAUUGCCGACCUUCUGAAGCCUGCUUCUGUCAACUUGUCAAACUCAUUCUCUGUCCAGUUUUGUUCCCUUGCUGGCAAGGAGUUAUGUUCCUUUGGAGUAGAAGAGGCGUUUUGGUUUUUGGAAUUUUUAGCCUUUCUGCUCUUUUUUCUCCCCAUCUUUGUGGUUUUAUCUACCUUUGGUCUUUGAUGUUGGUGACCUAUGGAUGGGGUUUUGGUGUGGAUGUCCUUUUGGUUGAUGUUGAUGCUAUUCCUUUCUGUUUGUUAGUUUUCCUUCUGACAGACAGGCCUCUCAGCUUCAGGUCUGUUGGAGUUUGUUGGAGGUCCACUCCAGACCCUGUUUGCCUGGGUAUCACCAGAGGAGGCUGCAGAACAGCAAAUAUUGCUGCCAACAUGUUCCUUCCUCUGGAAGCUUCAUCCCAGAGGGGCACCCGCCUGUACGAGGUGUCUGUCAGCCCCUACUGUGAGUUAUCUCCCUGUCAGAGUACACGGGGGUCAGGGACCCACUUGAGGGAGGCAGUCUUUCCAUUAUUGGAGCUUGAAUACUGUGCUGGGAGAACCACUGCUCUCUUCAGAGCUGUCAGGCAGGGACGUUUAAGUCUCUAGAAGCUAUCUGCUGCCAUUUGUUCAGAUAUGCCCUGCCUCCAGAGGUGGAAUCUAGAGAGGCAGUAGGCCUUGCUGAGCUGCAGGGCUCUGCCCAGUUCAAGCUUCCCUGCUGCUUUGUUUACACUGUGAGCAUAGAACCGCCUACUCAAGUCUCAUCCAUGGCGGACGCCCCUCCCCCCACCAAGCUCCAGCAUCCCAGGUCGAUCUCAGAUGGCAGCGCUAGCAGCAAGCAAGACUUGUGGGCAUGGGACCCACCAAGCCAGGCACAGGAGGGAAUCUCCUGGUGUGCCAGUUGCGAAGACCAUGGGAAAAGCAUAGUAUUUGGGCAGGAGUGUACCAUUCCUCCAGGUACAGUCACUCAUGGCUUCCCUUGGUUAGGAAAGGGAAAUCCCCUGAUCCCUUGCACUUCCUGGGUGAGGUGACGCCCCACCCUACUUCGGCUCACCCUCGGUGGGCCACACCCACUGUCCAACCAGUCCCAUGUGAUGAACCAGGUACCUCCGUUGGAAAUGCAGAAAUCACCUGUCUUUUGCGUCGAUCUUGUUGGGAGCUGUAGACUGGAGCUCUUCCUAACCUGCCAUCUUGGAAGCAACCCCCACCUCAGUGAAUAUUUCUUUCUUUCUUUCUUUCUUUUUUUUUUUUUUUGAAACGGAGGCUCGUUCUGUCGCCCAGGCUGGAGUACAGUGGCGCGUUCUCGGCCCACUGCAAGCUCUGCCUCCCUGGUUCAUGCAAUAUUUCUUAAAUGAAUAGAUCUAUACAGUACCUACUGUUAGUCUCCCCAUUUUGCAGAUGAGGAAACAGAGUAUCUGAUAGAUUAAGAAACUUGCCUGAGGUCCCGCAGUAAAUGGCCGAGUUGAUAUCCAACACAGGUCUGUCUGACUCUACAGCCUGUGCUUUUAAUCAUUAUGCAUGCUACCUUAGACAGCUUCAUUGCCUCCAUAGGUUUUCUCUGUAAAAUUUAUUAGAGGAUAUUAUCAUUGCAAGGAAAUUUGAUAAUCAGCUAGUUCCUUGCCUAGUCAUUAUAGUAAGUUUAAUCAAUUAACAACUAUUGAUUGAGUUUUUAUAGUAUGCAUUGCUAAGGUAACUGAAAUCCCUCCCCAAAAUAGGGUAGACGUUAAGAAUCACUCAUUUAUUACAUCCUGAAAAUUUCCACAUGCCUACAUUUUUAUCUGAUUUUCCUUCAGUAGCCCUUCAGGAGUUCAAGACCAGCCUGGCCAACAUGGCAAAACCCCCUCUUUACUAAAAAAUACAAAAAUUACCUGGGUGUGGUGGCAUGCACCUGUAAUUCUAGCUACUCAGUAGAUUGAGGCAGGAGAAUUGCUUGAAUCUGGGAAGUGGAGAUUGUAGUGAGCCAAGAUCACACCACUGCACUCCAGCCUGGGCAACAGAGUGAGACUCUCUCAAAAAAAAAAAAAAAACAAUUUUCACACCAAUGUAAAGAAACAGUAGCAGUUGAUAGUAUCCAUUAGACUAUCAGAGACCUAGAAGGAAUCUUCCAGAUCAUCUGCUGCUGAACACCACUUAACAGAUAAAGCAGUUGAGAACCAGUGAAUGGAAAUGACUCAUCUAAUACAGGGUUAAAACUAGAGGUCCCUUACCCUGUUACCAGGACCCUUCCUACCAUAUCUAACUCUGUCUUUCCUUCACCUACCUUCUCUAGAAACUAGGAUUUCUGUGGAAACCAGGUUAUUGGGUAAAUAGCAGCAAACCUGUCAAUCAGACCUGAGACUUCAGACUGCAUAUACCAGGACCUAGGUCAUAGAUUGCGCUGUAUAAUCCAGCCCUUUCCUGUUCUCUGUAUUACUGCCUCACAUUGUCAUUUGCUCACUAAGAAUGAAUAAACAUUCCCUGCCUGCCUGUCCUUCAGAGUGACCAAUCACUCCUCUCCCUCUGCCAUCCCCUUUCUCCUUCUUCCUUUUCAAAACAUUUGUGUUCAGGAAGGCAUUGUGUUGAAUGACUUUCUCAUUUCUGCCCCUGUGAUGCUGUUUAAGCCUUCCUUGAGGGACAAGCUAAUGAGGUCUGAAUUAUAGCAUCCACAUGAGACCAGAGUGGUAGAGGCUGUGUGGCUCAGAGAAUGUCAGAAGUGGAAGAUAACUUAGAGACCAAAAGGUCUGCCUCAUUGCCCCAUUUGAAGAUAAAUGGAGACAGCAAGAGAAAGGGAAAUGUUAAUUGACUGUUCGUGUUGCUAUUGCUAGCUAGAUGCAGAGUAUGGCUAGACCGCAGGCCUUCUGACUUCCCAGUUCAGUACUUACUAUUAAUACAUUACACUGAAGCCUUAGCACUUAGAACACAAGGGAUAUAAUGAGCCCCCAGGAAAGGAUGUUGACCAAUUGAUAAUAAUUUCCAGCAAGGAAAUGAAGAAAUUAUGUUUCCUUCUUAGAGGAAUUCCCCACCAUAGUAGCCUUCUCCAGGAAAAACAAAAGCAAAAACAAAAUUUCUUUAUCAUCAAAGGGUCUUCGUGAAAAUUACAGAGAUAACUAUAUGAAGGUCCUUACCACUGGGCUUGGAAAAUACUGUUAGAUUUCUUUUACCUCCAGCUUUACUGAGGUGUUUUUGACAAAUAAAAAUUGGAUAUAUUUAUGGUGUACAAUAUGAUGUUUUGAUACAUGUAUAUACCGUGAAGUGAUUACCACAAUAAACCUAAUGUACAUUUCCAUCACACCUCACAUAGUUACCUUUUGUGUAAGUCUCUGGUGAGAACAUUGAAGAUCAAAUCUCUUAGCAAAUUUCAAGUAUGCAAUACAUUACUAUUAACUAUAAUCAUCAUGCUAUACGUUAGAUCUCCAAAACUUAUUCAUUCUGCAUAACUGAAACUUCGUACCCUUUGACCAGCAUCCUUCCAUCUCCCCAGUCCCUCAGUCCCUUGGCAACCACCACUCUACUCUCUGUUUCUAUGAGUUUGAGUUUUUUAGAUGCUACGUAUAGGUGAGAUUAUGCAGUAUUUGUCCUUUUGUGUCUGGCUUAUUUCACUUAGCAUAAUGUCCUCCAGAUUCAUAUAUGUUGUCACAAAUGAUAGAAUUUUCUUUUUUUAUAAGACUGAAUAAUAUUCCUGUGUGUGUGUGUGUAUGUGUGUGUGAAAUUUUCUUUAUCCUUUCGUCACUGAUGGUAGUUUGAUUCUGUACAUUGGCUACUGUGAAUAGUGCUGCAGUGAAGAAGUGGGUAGAGAUAUCAGAGAUACUGAUUCCUUUUCCUUUGGAUAUAUACCCAGAUAUGGGAUUGUUGUAGCAUAUUAUAGUUCUAUUUUUAAUUUUUUGAGGAUAUACUGAUUUCCUUUCUUUUGUUAUUAUUUGGCAUAAUAGCUAUACCAGUUUACAUUCCCAACAGUGGACAAGGGUUCCCUUUUCUCCACAUCCUUACCAACACUUGUUAUAUUUUGUCUUUUUGAUGAUAGCCAUUCUAACAGAUGUGAGGUAAUAUCUCAUUGUGGUUUUGAUUUGCAUUUGUCUGAUGAUUAGUCAUGUUGAGCACCUUUUCAUAUACUUGUUGGCCAUUUGUAUGUCUUUUGAGAAAUGUCCAUUUAGGUCUGUUGCCCAUUUUUAAAAUUGGGUUGUUUUCUUGCUAUUGAGUUGUUUGAGUUUCUUGUGUAUUUUGGAUAUUAACCCCUUAUCAGAUAUAUCAUUUACAAAUAUUUUUAUCCCAUUAUAUAACUUACCUUUUCAUUUUGUUGAUUAUUUCCUUUGCUGUGCAGAUAUUCUUAGUUUGAUGCCAUCCCAUUAGUUUAUUUUUGCUUUUGUUGCCUGUGCUUUUAGGGUAAUUUUUUUAAGAAUUCAGCUGGGCGCAGUGGCUCAUGCCUGUAAUCCCAGCACCUUGGGAAGCUGAGAUGGGUGGAUCACCUGAGGUCAGGAGUUUGAAACCAGCCUGGUCAAUAGGGCAAAACCCCGUCUCUAUUAAAAAUACUAGCUGGGUGUGGUGGCAGGCACCUGUAAUCCCAGCUACUGAGGAGGCUGAGGCAGGAGAAUCACUUGAACCCAGGAGGUGGAGAUUGCAGUGAGCCAAGAUUGCGCCAUUGCACUCCAGCCUGGGCGACAGAGCGAGACUCUGUCUCAAAAAAUAAAAAUAAAAAAUUCAUUGCC
rnacentral:lncRNA from 1 species